GAGAUGCGAUAAGUCAUGUGAAUUGCAGAAUUCAGUGAAUCAUCGAAUCUUUAAACGCACAUUGCGCCCGCCAGCACUCUGGCGGGCCUGCCUGUUCGAGCGUCAUUUCAACCAUCAAGCCCCCCGGGUUUGUGCUGGGGAUCUGCGACUAACCACAGGCCCAGAAAACCAGUGGCGGGCCCGCCGCCGUGCCCGAGCGUAGUAGAUCUAUCCUCCAGCUCGGCGUGCGUAGCGAGCUUCCCCGCCGUUAAACCCACCAUCAAGCAAGGUUGAGCUCGGAUCAGGUAGGAAUACCCGCUGAACUUAA
rnacentral:misc_RNA from 1 species